GCCCAGAUAGCUCAGUUGGUAGAGCAACUCCAUGGUAAGGAGUAGGUCAGCGGUUCGAGUCCGCUUCUGGGCUCCA
rnacentral:tRNA from 1 species